rnacentral:rRNA from 1 species
AACGAACGCUGGCGGCAGGCUUAACACAUGCAAGUCGAGCGCCCCGCAAGGGGAGCGGCAGACGGGUGAGUAACACGUGGGAACGUACCUUUUGCUACGGAAUAGCUCCGGGAAACUGGAAUUAAUACCGUAUGUGCCCUUUGGGGGAAAGAUUUAUCGGCAAAAGAUCGGCCCGCGUCUGAUUAGCUAGUUGGUGGGGUAAUGGCCUACCAAGGCGACGAUCAGUAGCUGGUCUGAGAGGAUGAUCAGCCACACUGGGACUGAGACACGGCCCAGACUCCUACGGGAGGCAGCAGUGGGGAAUAUUGGACAAUGGGGGCAACCCUGAUCCAGCCAUGCCGCGUGAGUGAUGAAGGCCUUAGGGUUGUAAAGCUCUUUCGCUAGGGAAGAUAAUGACGGUACCUAGAGAAGAAGCCCCGGCUAACUUCGUGCCAGCCGCCGCCGUAA